rnacentral:rRNA from 1 species
AAGAUCACGAGAGUGAGCGCGCACAUCGUAUGGCGUUAGUGUCGUGCCCAUCAGUGACCUCUCGUAUGAGUACUUUAUGUGCCUACGAAGGCUGACCACGGGCUAACGCGGACAAUCUUGAUGCGUAUUCCUGAGAGCCGUAGCCUGAGAACGGCUACCACAUCCAAGGGAAAGGGCAGCAGGCGCGCAAAUUACCCACUCCCGACUCGGGGGAGGGUAGUGACGAAAAAUUAACAAUACAGGAACUCUUUCGGAGGCCCUGUAAUUUGGGAAUGGAGUACACUUUUAAAUCCCUUUUAACGAGGAAUCAUUGGAGGGGCAAGUUCUGGUGCCAGCCAGCGGCGGUUAUUUCCAGCUCCAAUAGCGUAUCUUAAAGUGCUGCAGUUAAAAAAGCUCGUAAGUGGAAUCUCGGAAUUCAGCUGACAGUCGCCCGAGGGAGAUUACGUUGUUCAGGCCUGGCUUUGAGCCCCCUAGAUGUCUUAGUGAAGUUCCCGGAGUUCCAAACGGUAAACUGAAAAAAAAUAAAAAGGUCCAAGAUGCCCCCCCGCCCCCCUUUAUAUUCCUAUUUGAUAAUCAAGUAUGAGGGCCCCCCCGUCCUUACUUGUGGGGGGGGGGGUCCUCCAAAAAAAAG